UACGUAGGGGGCCAGCGUUGCUCGGAAUUACUGGGCGUAAAGGGUCCGUAGGCGGUGUGGCAAGUCGGGAGUGAAAUCUCUGGGCUUAACUCAGAGGCUGCUUCCGAAACUGCCGUGCUAGAGUGUGAGAGAGGCGAGUGGAAUUGCGGGUGUAGCGGUGAAACGCGUAGAUAUCCGCAGGAACAUCCGAGGCGAAAGCGGCUCGCUGGAUCACAACUGACGCUGAGGGACGAAAGCUAGGGGAGCAAACAGG
rnacentral:rRNA from 1 species